CGAGCGGGCACGGCAGCAGCUGUCUUUUGGGAGGCAGCAUUCUGAAAUAUCUAUUCGUGUAAUUGAAAAUAAAUACACUUGAGAACUGCGAUGCGUUCAGAGACAUGCCGCCCAUAGCAAAAUACGAAGCACGGCCAGGAUUGUUCCAGUCAACACACUGGACCAACCAUUAAGCAAUUCCAUUUUGGACUAGAUCAUUGAAGAGCCUCAAUCGAGUCUGCCACAGGACAGGACAAGUGUACCAUGAAGAAGGUUUAGGAGAAUCAUUCGUUAGGCUUGCCUGGACUCCCUAUGACUUGAAAAGCAGGAUUCCCUGUUUUGGGCCACGAAUUCCAGUCUCUAACUUGGCAGUGAAACAUGAAGCCUCCAUCUGACAGACUGGCUCAAUCUCUGCAUUUUCAAUUAACACCUGAAGCUGAAAGUGGAGUAAGAAGAACAUUUUGAAUCUACUAACCAGUGUGAGAUACUAGAACUGUAUCUCUGUCUGAAGCUGAUGCCAUUAAAAUAGGAAGAAUGAUACGAUGUGGCAAACACAUUAAAGCUUGCUAAAUUACUUUUAACAGGUGAUUUUUUUCAGAACAAGUUUGUGCAAAGGACAGUUUUACGUAAGAGUUCUGAAAGAAUGAAACACACAGCAAGGAAAAAAAGCCUGCUUUGACUAUACACUAUGUGUAAAAGACUUAGGGCUAAUUUUAGCCGCAAGUCUAGCAACUGUCUUGACUAUCUAGCCAACAUUUAAGUGUUUCAAAAGUUUGUAACUUACGUAAGUCUGAAUAAAUGUUGACAGAAACAAGGAGAAAAGAGGACUUCUCUGACACAAAACCAAGUCUGCUUGCAAACUGAAAGACUGCAGGAGUACUAAAAUAUUCUCCUCUAAACAACAAAGCCUUAAAGAUGAAGGAAACAAAAUUUUCUCUUACAUACCCUCUUUGGAACUACUUUACUUCUGAAAUUGCGCUCUUAUUAAAAAGAAAAAAUGUCACCUUAAUGCAAAGAAAAUUUUAGCCCACAAUCUAAAUUUAAAUUUAGGGGCAACAGAAACUCAGUACUGCACAAGGUUUACAGAAACUUAGAAUAAGGAAAACCUCAAAAACACCAGUUCCAAUGAGACACAAUAAACUGUCAUUGUUAAGAAGCUACUUUUAUGCAAAAAAAGCUAAUGGAAUAGUUACAAAAAUGUUUCUGUUCCUUGAGAUACUUCGUGAUCAGAAUUAACUGCAUUAUCAUGAAAAAAACAGCCAUGACACAUCGCAUAUCACAGCCUCAAGACUUCAUUUGUUCUACCUCUUUCCACAUGAAGGCACUUAUACUCACAGGGUUUGACUUCAUCUCCAUAAGGUUGUCCAAAAUACGUGUGACUGGUAAAUUCUGUAAAACGUAACACAAAAUUAAUGGAAUGUUGAAAUGCUUACUAGGAAUUAUUCACAGGUAUACAUUAACUAUGAAAUAGUUUACAUUUGAAAUACUACUUUAAACAGUAAUUUUUUUUAAAGGUUGAGCAUUUUUAUCAUAAUCUAAAUCAGCUUUCUGUACAGAAAAUGCCACUGUCUGAGAAGCACCUAGCUAGGGGAUGAACAGAAAGUGUAAAAAAAAAAUGCAAAAAUGGGAUCAAGAGUUGUAUUUAGGUGUUACCAAUAUAUGCAGAUAUGUGAUGAUAUUUGAGUUCUUAUUAAAAAAACACUGCACAAUUUAACAAAAGAAUUUUAAUGCUAAAGAUGAGAAUGUAAUGUGAUUGUAAAAAAGAACUACUGCUGUGAAAGAAAUGGGUAAAAAAAGAAAUCCUGGGCAAAAAUGUUUCGUUGAACUGGAAAGGAAUAAACUGAGGUGAGAUUCGAGAUGACUUGUCAUUAUUUAAGAUGGAAAAUGUCAGCUUGGACAAAAGAUAUGAAGUAUUAAACAGUCAAACCACUUUAGUUAUAAUAAACUGAGGGACAGGUUACAUAGCAACGGCAUUGGAAAUGUGUCUUGUUGACAGAAUAUAUCAAAAAAGGACAUUCCAAAGGAUGUUCUACAAAUAACACUGAAAAACAACUAGUAAAACCCGAGUGUAAAUCCCUGAACGAUCAAACAAGAAAUAAAAAGUUAACUUUAACAGAAACACCACAGACCUACAACAAGCUUAAAACUAUGAGGAAGAAGAGUAUUUUAUCUGGCUACCCCAAAAACAGCUGGAAAAGGAAUUAAAAGUCACAAAAAAAAAA